GAUGAACGCUGGCGGCGUGCCUAAUACAUGCAAGUCGAGCGAACAGACGAGGAGCUUGCUCCUCUGACGUUAGCGGCGGACGGGUGAGUAACACGUGGAUGACCUACCUAUAAGACUGGGAUAACUUCGGGAAACCGGAGCUAAUACCGGAUAAUAUAUUGAACCGCAUGGUUCAAUAGUGAAAGACGGUUUUGCUGUCACUUAUAGAUGGAUCCGCGCCGCAUUAGCUAGUUGGUAAGGUAACGGCUUACCAAGGCAACGAUGCGUAGCCGACCUGAGAGGUGGAUAGGCCACACUGGAACUGAGACACGGUCCAGACUCCUAAGGGAGGCAGCAGUAGGGAACCUUCCGCAAUGGGCGAAAGCCUGACGGAGCAACGCCGCGUGAGUGAUGAAGGUCUUCGGAUCGUAAAACUCUGUUAUUAGGGAAGAACAAAUGUGUAAGUAACUAUGCACGUCUUGACGGUACCUAAUCAGAAAGCCACGGCUAACUACGUG
rnacentral:rRNA from 1 species